UACGAAGGGGGCGAGCGUUGUUCGGAUUUACUGGGCGUAAAGGGCGCGCAGGCGGUUCUGUUUGUCGAGUGUGAAAGCCCCGGGCUCAACCUGGGAACUGCGCUCGAAACGGCGGAACUAGAGUUCGGGAGAGGAGAGUGGAAUUCCCGGUGUAGCGGUGAAAUGCGCAGAUAUCGGGAAGAACACCCGUGGCGAAGGCGGCUCUCUGGGACGGUACUGACGCUGAGACGCGAAAGCGUGGGGAGCGAACAGG
rnacentral:rRNA from 1 species